rnacentral:rRNA from 1 species
UAUGUAGGGGGCGAGCGUUGUCCGGAUUCAUUGGGCGUAAAGAGCGCACAGGCGGUCGUUCAAGUCGCGUGUGAAAGCCCCCGGCUCAACUGGGGAGGGUCACGCGAUACUGAUCGACUCGAAGGCAGGAGAGGGUAGUGGAAUUCCCGGUGUAGUGGUGAAAUGCGUAGAUAUCGGGAGGAACACCAGUGGCGAAGGCGACUACCUGGCCUGUUCUUGACGCUGAGGCGCGAAAGCUAGGGGAGCAAACGGG